CCUACGGGGUGCAGCAGUAGGGAAUUUUCGGCAAUGGGGGGAACCCUGACCGAGCAACGCCGCGUGAACGAAGAAGUUAUUCGGAAUGUAAAGUUCUUUUAACAGGGAAGAAAGAGAAAUUUUACGUUACCUUAAGAAUAAGCUCCGGCAAACUACGUACCAGCAGCCGCGGUAAUACGUAGGGAGCGAGCAUUAUCCGGAAUUAUUGGGCGUAAAGGGUGCGUAGAUGGCAUAGUAAGUCUUUUGUAAAAAUGCUGGGCUAAACCCAGUAGGGCAAAAGAUACUGGAAAGCUAGAGUAAGACAGAGGCAAGUGGAACUACAUGUGUAGCGGUAAAAUGCGUAGAGAUAUGUAAGAACACCAGUGGCGAAGGCGGCUUGCUGGGUCGAUACUGACAUUGAGGCACGAAAGCGUGGGGAGCAAACAGGAUUAGAUACCCGAGUAGUC
rnacentral:rRNA from 1 species